CAAUAGCGUAUAUUAAAGUUGUUGCAGUUAAAAAGCUCGUAGUUGGAUUUCUGGCCGAGUGUCCCUAGGCCAGCAUGACGUUUGGUCCUAGGCGCUCUGCCAUCCUUCUGUCAACCUUCGCCUUCUUCAUUGGGGGCGCUGGGGCUCAGAUAUUUUACCUUGAGAAAAUUAGAGUGUUCAAAGCAGGCAACCGCUCUGAAUACAUUAGCAUGGAAUAACGCUAUAGGACUCUGGUCCUAUUGUGUUGGUCUUCGGGACCGGAGUAAUGAUUAAGAGGGACAGUUGGGGGCAUUCGUAUUUCAUUGUCAGAGGUGAAAUUCUUGGAUUUAUGAAAGACGAACUUCUGCGAAAGCAUUUGCCAAGGAUGUUUUCAUUAAUCAAGAACGAAAGUUGGGGGCUCGAAGAUGAUCAGAUACCAU
rnacentral:rRNA from 1 species